rnacentral:rRNA from 1 species
UACCAGCACCCCGAGUGGUCGGGACGAUUAUUGGGCCUAAAGCAUCCGUAGCCGGCCUUACAAGUCCCCCGUUAAAUCCAACUGCUUAACAGAUGGGCUGCGGAGGAUACUAUAAGACUAGGAGGCAGGAGAGGCAAGCGGUACUCAGUGGGUAGGGGUAAAAUCCGUUGAUCCAUUGAAGACCACCAGUGGCGAAGGCGGCUUGCCAGAAUGCGCUCGACGGUGAGGGAUGAAAGCCGGGGGAGCAAACCGG